rnacentral:lncRNA from 1 species
AUGUUUCAUGAUUCAUUGUUUUUCGGAGAAACAUUGCCAAUAAUUGUUUUUUCAGAUAAUUUUGAGAACAAUAUAAACAAUUAUUUUUCAGAGAGUUGGUAUUUUUCACUAUCAAAUUCUAAAUUUUCUCAUUGAUGAAAUAAUUGAAGCUUUCUAAUGGUUUUUCUCAAAUUAUGUGUCUAUUUUUAUAGCAGGAAUCCCGAUGAUUAUAUUCUCAGGCUUGGUUUUAAUAGCCGUUUGUUACAUGUUUUCUCUACUUUAUUUUCUUAUCUUUGCCUAAAAAAUGGUCCAUCAUUUGUAUCCUCUGCUACUAAUGUAUUAUUUUCUGUUUCUGAAAUAUCCUCCACUCUGAAGAAGCAAAAGACUUUGAUGGUGGUAUUCGCUACUACUAUCAAAGUCUCUUGCAUCAGCCACAUCAUUUUCUUCAUUUGAUGUUUUGUUAUGAAAGGGUUCUUCAUCCUCAUCAUCUACUUCUAGAAUUAUUGAAAUAUUGUUUUAUUCAUUUAAGCAUGG